rnacentral:rRNA from 1 species
UACGGAGGGGGCGAGCGUUGUCCGAAGUUACUGGGCGUAAAGCGCGCGUAGGCGGGGGAUUAAGUGAGAGGUGAAAGGCUGAGGCUCAACCUCAUGCAGUGCCUCUCAUACUGGUUCUCUUGAGGGCGGUAGGGAGAAGUGGAAUGGCUGGUGUAGCGGUGAAAUGCGUAGAUAUUGCUCGGAAGGCCAGAGCCGAAGGGGCCCCAUUGGUACGUAACUGACGCUGAGGCACGAAAGCGUGGGGAGCAAACAGG